CAUGAACCACUCACUACUACUCAUCAUCUACAGACCAUUCUCUCUCUCUCUCUCUCUCUCUCUCUCUCUCUCUCUCUCUCUCAUGUUGGUUGAUAAUCGUCAAUUAAGUCCUGCAGAUUGGACCAAGUUCAUGUUUUUAACUCUUUUUAUGCAAAUCUCUAAUUUCAUUUGCUGAAAGACAUCUAUAUAUAAAGUACGCCAUUUCAGUGUAAAAGAGAGAAAAAGAAAGAGAGCUUUCUUCAGUCCACUCAUGGGUGCCAUAAGAUAUCAAUUAGCUGCCGACUCAUUCAUCCAAAUACUAAGUCAAAAAACCUGUUGUAGUACUUAGUAAAUGAGUGAAUGAUGCGGGAGACAAAUUGAAUCUUAUGUUUCCUGUACUUGGACUGAAGGGAGCUCCCUUUUGGUCCAGCUCAUUAUCAUGAUCUGUGUUUAAAUUAGUUUUUUUUUUCUUUAAAAAAGCUAAAAUAGGGUUUAUCAGUUUCAAAUCAGGAAAAUGCUAAUACUAAAUAAGUAAAGCCCUUUUUAAUCCUUUUAUUUCAGUUUUAAAUCAAGAUUUCUGUUGAAAAUAUCAAAUUUUCUACUUUUAACUGGUGGACGAAACUAGGGUUUUUGCUAAGUUUACUUCAAGAUUUUUUGUCUGUGUUCGUAUCUUUUUCACUUGUAAUUAAUUUCUUUUUGUUUUUAGGUCAAGAUUUAUGCCAAGGUUAUCAAUGAUUACGCAUUUUCAAGAGUUACAUCAACUUAUCUUUCAUUGUUUCGAUUUUUAAAUUAAAUUACGAUAUAACAUUUUCAAAGAGGUACAUAAACAAGUAUAGGUAGGGUUUGUGUACUUUGUCUUGUAAGGGUCGAACACGAAACCCACAUUCUUGUACUAUGUGCAGUGUUUGUGAUACCUCGAAUAUGUGCAGUUUGUAGGGUUUUUGAAGUUUGUUUAUUUAAAGUCACACGUCCAUAUAUAUGAUCAUGUAACCAAGUAUGACACCAGCUUAAUUCUUUUUGUUAAAUUGCAGCAGUAUUUGACAUAUUAAUGUUGAGAUGUUCGAUUCGUGAUGAAACACACCAAAACCAUGUGUUUUAAAGCUUCAAUACCGUGUAUGAAGUAUAUACAUUAGGUUUCUGUUGAACCCGAUGAUAAAAUCCGGGUGUUGUACGUGGUGCAGUAUGUGUAGUACGUUGAAUCAUUUGAGUUAUAUUUAGAUAGGGUUAGCAUGCAGCAGAUGGGAUAUGACAAUGCUCUGCUGUCUUGGAUUUUGCCCUAGCUAUUCUGUAACAAGUUCCGAGACGCUCAUGUCUUCCAGUUGGGUGCAAUUACCAAAAUAUCCUCCUUUUGUACAGCAGGAAAAUCCGACAGUUUCUGAAGGGUUUUAGUAGCAAAAGCGUGGAGAAUUGUAAAGCCAAUCUGACCCCCAGUCGAUUUCAAGAUUUUGUUAUUUUUUUUUUUUCUUGAAGUUUUCUAUUAUUUUUAGAUUUUAAAUGUAGUAGGUUUUCACCUUUGUAGCUUUGAUUUAUGUAAAAAUUUAACCUGUUUCUUUUAAUCUUUUUUGUGAAGGAGCCAGUACAUGAUUUGUGUUUUUUAUUUUCUUUAUUUUGCAUAUUAGUAUUUUUAGAUAAAAUGAACAUUUCUCGGUCGAUUUAUUCGAG
rnacentral:lncRNA from 1 species